rnacentral:miRNA from 1 species
GGUUUUAUACAAGGAUUCACUUCGGCCCUUGAUUAAAUUCUAAUCAAGGGCUGUGGUGAAUCCCUGUAUAAAUCCC